AUUAUUGGGCCUAAGCAUCCGUAGCCGGUCAUGCAAGUCCCUCCCGUUAAAUCCACCUGCUUAACAGAUGGGCUGCGGAGGAUACUACAAGGCUAGGAGGCGGAAGAGGCAAGCGGUACUCAGUGGGUAGGGGUAAAAUCCUCUGAUCCAUUGAAGACCACCAGUGGCGAAGGCGGCUUGCCAAUACGCGCUCGACGGUGAGGGAUGAAAGCUGGGGGAGCAAACCGGAUUAGAUACCCGGGUAGUCCCAGCUGUAAACGAUGCAGACUCGGUGAUGGGCCGGCUUUAUGCCGGCUCAGUGCCGCAGGGAAGCCGUUAAGUCUGCCGCCUGGGGAGUACGGUCGCAAGACUGAAACUUAAAGGAAUUG
rnacentral:rRNA from 1 species